GCACCACCGGCGGACGGCUCAGUAACACGUCGGUAACCUACCCUCGGGAGGGGGAUAACCCCGGGAAACUGGGGCUAAUUCCCCAUAGGCCUGAGGUACUGGAAGGUCCUCAGGCCGAAAGGGACUUAUGUCCGCCCGAGGAUGGGCCGGCGGCCGAUUAGGUAGUUGGUGGGGUAAUGGCCCACCAAGCCGAAGAUCGGUACGGGCUGUGAGAGCAGGAGCCCGGAGAUGGACACUGAGACACGGGUCCAGGCCCUACGGGGCGCAGCAGGCGCGAAACCUCCGCAAUGCGGGAAACCGCGACGGGGGGACCCCGAGUGCCGUGGCAACGCCACGGCUUUUCCGGAGUGUAAAAAGCUCCGGGAAUAAGGGCUGGGCAAGGCCGGUGGCAGCCGCCGCGGUAAUACCGGCGGCCCGAGUGGUGGCCGCUAUUAUUGGGCCUAAAGCGUCCGUAGCCGGGCCCGUAAGUCCCUGGCGAAAUCCCACGGCUCAACCGUGGGGCUUGCUGGGGAUACUGCGGAUCUUGGGACCGGGAGAGGCGGGGGGUACCCCUGGGGUAUGGGUGAAAUCCUAUAAUCCCAGGGGGACCGCCUCUGCCGA
rnacentral:rRNA from 1 species